GAGUUUGAUCAUGGCUCAGGACGAACGCUGGCGGCGUGCCUAACACAUGCAAGUUGAGCGGAGAUAUGGAGAGCUUGCUUCUUUAUUAUUUUAGCAGCGAACGGGUGAGUAACACGUAGAUUAAUUUGUCCUAUAGUUGGGGGAUAGGCCGAUAGAAAAUUGGAUUAAUACCGCAUACAGCUUAUUUAACCGCAGUGGGGGAGAUAGUAGGAAAAGGGGUAACUUGAUAGUAGGAGGAGUCUGCGGCAC
rnacentral:rRNA from 1 species